rnacentral:rRNA from 1 species
UUUUGACCUCGGAUCAGGUAGAUAUACCCGCUGAACUUAA